UCGUAGUCCGGAUUGGAGUCUGCAACUCGACUCCAUGAAGUCGGAAUCGCUAGUAAUCGUAGAUCAGAAUGCUACGGUGAAUACGUUCCCGGGCCUUGUACACACCGCCCGUCACACCAUGGGAGUGGGUUGCAAAAGAAGUAGGUAGCUUAACCUUCGGGAGGGCGCUUACCACUUUGUGAUUCAUGACUGGGGUGAAGUCGUAACAAGGUAACCGUAGGGGAACCUGCGGUUGGAUCACCUCCUUA
rnacentral:rRNA from 2 species